CCUACGGGUGACAGCAGUGAGGAAUAUUGGUCAAUGGACGAGAGUCUGAACCAGCCAAGUAGCGUGAAGGAUGACUGCCCUAUGGGUUGUAAACUUCUUUUAUAUGGGAAUAAAAUGUUCCACGUGUGGGAUUUUGUAUGUACCAUAUGAAUAAGGAUCGGCUAACUCUGUGCCAGCAGCCGCGGUAAUACGGCGGAUCCGAGUGUUAUCCGGAUUUAUUGGGUUUAAAGGGAGCGUAGGUGGAUUGUUAAGUCAGUUGUGAAAGUUUGCGGCUCAACCGUAAAAUUGCAGUUGAAACUGGCAGUCUUGAGUACAGUAGAGGUGGGCGGAAUUCGUGGUGUAGCGGUGAAAUGCUUAGAUAUCACGAAGAACUCCGAUUGCGAAGGCAGUUCACUGGACUGCAACUGACACUGAGGCUCGAAAGUGUGGGUAUCAAACAGGAUUAGAUACCCCAGUAGUC
rnacentral:rRNA from 1 species